ACAAAGACAAUCUGACCAUGCCCACUUACUGCCCGGGGGCUUCCUUGCUGAUACUGACAUAUAAGACCCCAAAGGAGCUGCUGAGCAUUUAUGUGAGUACAAUCCGGAAGUCCAGAUGCAGGGAGAGGAGGAACAGAAGACUGGGAGCUAGAAAUUUCCGCUCUGAAGAACAAAUCUAUGACCAAUGGAGGCUAGAUCAAACAGGGGAUCUGCUGUAUUCCUGAGGCUGGAGUGCAGUGGUACAAUCUCAACUCACUGCAGCUUUUGUCUCCCAGGCUCAAGUGAUCUUUCCAUCUCAGCCUCCCUAGUAGCUGGGAUUACAGUUUGAUGAGAAAUAUUCCUGAAGACCAUUAAUCAGGGAUACAUGCUGCUGUGUGGUGAGUAUGGAAACUUAUAACACUAUUUAUUAUGGCCCAUGACGGGAUGGAGCAUGUUUACUUUUUGGUGUGUACAGUGGACACCCUACCAAGGAACUGUUUCUCAGCUGGGAAUUUUAGCGUCCCUAACUCUGACGUGCCCUUUAGUACCAGGUCUGAGCAAACUACCUUGAGGAAGAUUAAUUCCAUGUCUGCCUGUGAUAUAGACAUGGAGAAACUCAUUUUUCACAGCUAUAAGCAUCCAUCCAGAGGAGUCAGAAUAAGAAAAGACAAAAUGGAGCUAUCACUGUGGAAUGAGUGCAAUGGGUAGACCUGAGAUAACUCUUUGAGCUCCCGUAAGCAAAUACUGUCAGGAAAAAGGGUUCUGAGGCCCUGGAAUUUUG
rnacentral:lncRNA from 1 species